UACAGAGGUCUCAAGCGUUGUUCGGAUUCAUUGGGCGUAAAGGGCGCGUAGGCUGCGGGGCAAGUCGGGUGUGAAAUCUCAGAGCUCAACUCUGAAACUGCACUCGAUACUGCUUUGCUUGAGGACUGGAGAGGAGAUUGGAAUUCACGGUGUAGCAGUGAAAUGCGUAGAUAUCGUGAGGAAGACCAGUGGCGAAGGCGGAUCUCUGGACAGUUCCUGGCGCUGAGGCGCGAAGGCCAGGGGAGCAAACGGG
rnacentral:rRNA from 1 species